ensembl:lncRNA
CUUCAGAUGUUCAGAGCAGGAUCAGUCUCUUCGAGUUCUGGAGCGGGUGUGGGGGACCACUAGAAGAUUUGGAUUCAAUGACCUCAGUCAAUAAGAAGAGGGGACAGGAUGUGAACCUCAGAAGUUUAAGUGAGCAGUAUAGCUGAAUACCAUCGGCAAACAGAUGUUUACAAGGUGGAGGUGGAUUCAGGGGUGGAGUCUGUCCUGCUCCCCUGUAAAGCCACACUUCAGCUGCCUAAAGACGUUAGAGUGGAGUGGAAGGACAUGAAAGACAGGAAGGUCCACGUGUGUGAGAACAGCUCUGACAAGAAUAAAGAACAGGAUGAAGUUUACAGAAAUCGAACAAAGAUGAAUGAAGACCUGCUGAAAACUGGAGACCUCAGUCUGAGCCUGAAACACCCCACAGAGAGAGACACAAACACCUACACCUGCACCGUCUACAGCAGGGACGGAAACAUCCUGCUGAAGAAACAAGUGCUGCUUACUGUCAGAGAGUGUCGGGUGGAGGUGGAGGUGGGGGCGGAGUCUGUCCAGCUGCCCUUCAAAACCACAGCUCAGCUGCCUGAAGACACUCAGGUGGAGUGGUGGCACCGUCCUGAGAAGCCUGACAAACAGGAGCGGGAUUACAGAGACCGAGUGAAGAUGAAGGACGAGCGUGUGAAAAGCGGACGGUUCAGCCUGACCCUUGAACGCCCCACAGAGAGAGACAGUGGCAGAUACAGCUGUGUGGCCUGGAGCCAGGGAAACAUCAUCGGAUGGAGAGUCGUGCUGCUCACAGUUACAGGGAGAGAUCAGCACAUCAGGAACAGAAGCAGCUCCAUUGAUCCGACUCCUCUGAUGGCUGAAGUUUGAUCUGUGUUCCUUUGUUAUUGAUCAGUGAUGUCAGAGUGGACUUUGUGAGUGUCGGUGGGCAGUGAGCAUGAGUGGGAGCCGUGGACGCUGCUGCAGGAAGGCUGCAUGUCAUUUAUUUGUAUGAGUUUAAUCCAUUAAAGUUAAUAAAGAGC